CAGCCGUAAACUAUGCGCGUUAGGUGUACUGGUGACCACGAGUCACCGGGUGCCGAAGGGAAACCGUGAAACGUGCCGCCUGGGAAGUACGGUCGCAAGGCUGAAACUUAAAGGAAUUGGCGGGGGGAGCACCGCAACGGGAGGAGCGUGCGGUUUAAUUGGAUUCAACACCGGAAAACUCACCAAGGCGACUGUUACAUGAAAGCCAGGCUAAUGACCUUGCUUGAUUUUUCAGAGAGGAGGUGCAUGGCGUCAGUGACU
rnacentral:rRNA from 1 species